rnacentral:misc_RNA from 1 species
GAUGAAGAACGUAGCGAAAUGCGAUAAGUAAUGCGAAUUGCAGAAUUCAGUGAGUCAUCGAAUCUUUGAACGCACAUUGCGCCCCUUGGCAUUCCGAGGGGCAUGCCUGUUCGAGCGUCAUUUCACCACUCAAGCCUGGCUUGGUGUUGGGCGACGUCCUCUUUGGGGACGCGCCUCGAAACGCUCGGCGGCGUGGCACCGGCUUUAAGCGUAGCAGAAUCUUUCGCUUUGGAAGUCGGGGCCCCGUCUGCCGGAAGACCUGCUCGCAAGGUUGACCUCGGAUCAGGCAGGGAUACCCGCUGAACUUAAGCAUAUCAAUAAGCGGAGGA